CCGGCACCACCUCACAGCCCACCAGGCUGAGGGGCUGCUGGGCCGCCUUGCUGCGGUUCCGGUCCUGGUAGAAGUACAGGUGACUGUCCCUGACGGAGCACCAGCGCGACUUCCACUGGCCGUUCACCAGCACGUUCAGCUUCCUCCCCAACUUAGAUGAAUAUUUACAGAGCUGACACCGUGUGCCAAGCACAGCCUUGUCCCUGGGGCUGGAAAGAUCAGUAAACAUCCAGUCUUCAGGCCCCUCUGCCUGCCCCACACACCAUGGGUUGACAUCUCUGUGCUGCUCACCUUCCCACAGGCAUUGGCUUACAAAGCGGAUGCCUUCUCCAUUCUACGGGGCCAGCAGCUGCUCUGAACCUUAGCCAGGAAGAACUAGGCCCAUGCAACAGGGUCAAAGUACACGGCCACCUUCGCACCCAGUCCAGUGCUGGACACUCAGUGGGGAUCGUGAAUUUCUUAGGGCCACGAGACCAUCACAUCAGAGUAGCAAAGUGGAAGAAUGUGAGCCCAGGACCUAGGAACUCUGGCUCAUUCAGGCAGGCGCCCCACUCGCCCAUCACAAUUCUCUGGACCAAAGAGAGGCGGGGAGCUCAGACACUGAGUCCUGGGAAGGAGAGUAUCUAUGUUCUCUCUGGCCCUUCCCCAACCACAGGGGACAGACGCAUGCUUCCCUGCUGAGUAACUGCCAGCAAGAACCCAGCCACAUCUCCCAAAGUGACUCACUGGGACCAGGAUCCCAGGCCCAACACCAUGCCCUCUGAGGCCACAGGGGCUGGCAGAGCUGGGCCGUUACCUGGCACCCUGGCCAGAGAACCAGGAGGCUCCAAAGGUAGGGCCCUGUCUGCUGCUGCCUUCCUGUCCCUCCAGCUCACCCUGCCAGCCGCAAAACACAGAGCUGAACUGGGACUCAGGAAAAGAGCCCAGGGCUGGCACACGGGUUCCAUGAGGAGGAGGAAAAGGCCCAAAGAUGGACAGUAGUGGCCUUCAGGCUCCAGGGGGUAAGCAAGAGGGUCUGGUGAGUCAUAAAGAGCUACCCGCCGCAAAGAUCAGCAGAGACCGUGGACCGUGG